GCCAGUGACCAUACCACGUUUGAAAGCAGAGGUUCUCAUCCGAUCACCGCAGUUAAGCAACGUUGGACCCGGUCAGUACUUGCA
rnacentral:rRNA from 1 species